CACAAUAUGAAAGCGGGCUGGCAUCCUUCGGGGUUACAGCCUUGCUGAAUUAUUCACCCGUGUCUUUUGCGUACUUCUUGUUUCCUUGGUGGGUUCGCCCACCAUAGGACAAACCAUAAACCUUUUGUAAUUGCAAUCAGCGUCAGAAAAAAAAAAUUAAUAAUUA
rnacentral:misc_RNA from 2 species